ACUUUUUAGAAUGUUUUUUUUUCUGUCAACUUUCAUUUAACACUCCAGUCCAGUUGGUGGCAGUAAUGCGAUUUCAUAGUCGGUCAGGCAGCCGCCAUUAAACUCCAGAGGAAGAUUUGCACCUUACCUUUUCAGUAUCGUUUACGAUACGGCGGAAAACAACAGAUGACACCGUGGCGCUCCAACAGGCCGAACUCAGGUAAGAAAGCUUUUAUGAAUAGCGAGCACGUGCGGCGAGGCGAGUUGCUUUGUUUGUUUCUUACAGAAAGCGGUCUGUCGUUUUUAUAAUGUCAAAACAAGUGUAGGGAGAGAUUUCGUACUGCAAUUUUUUUAUUACAUGUGAUGUUCUGAACUCUUAAAAAUACUCGCAUCUUCUUUUAUUUUUUUCAGACCUGAAAAAUGGCCGAGCCUCAACAGCCAGGCCUCGGACCACGGUGCCGAGGCGCUUUUACGGAGUCCACGAAGAGAAAUUCAGUAAGUUAUGAUUGCACAUUUAGUGAAUAAUGAACACUCGCAUAUUUGUAAAGAAAAUUGAACAUCCGGUUAUUUUAUUUAUUUUUGAUAUAACGGAGUAUAGUAAGCAGUAGAGAUCGACAACAUGGCGGACGGAGGACGGAUAUCAGGACGGAGCCAUGAAGCCGGUAUUAUGUACAGUCACUGUGUAACGGGUGGAACCACCAGGGGUCGCUUCCUCCACAUUUUGAGCUCCCAUAAAAGGGAAGCUGUCAGGCUGGUGGGCAAUUGUCAAUCUCCUCUGUGUUCGAUCAGGUGUGUUGGCCCACACGUCCCACUGUUUGCGAUCAGGUUUGUGUCAGUUUUUUUUGUUGUAAAGAAAAACUCUUAAUCUGAUUAUAUUUAGUCAGUGUUUGUGUGAUGUUUUUAUAUAGGGCCACACUUCAUGUUUUGAGCUGACGAUUCCUACCUGGGCGUGUGGUUGGUCGACGCUGCAGUUGUCGCUGCACCCUGCUGUUCUUUUAGUUUGAUUUUCCUUUUCCAUUGUUUUUCAUUUAUUUUUGUUUACCUAUUGUUUUUUGCAAAUACACAUCCUCUUAUUUUGUAAUAGUAAAUAUUGUCCCUUUUAUACUGGUUGUUCUUAUUGCACUAUAAGUGGUCGUAACAACUGCGUUGAUUCCCGAUUGUACAAUGGCUGGUUGAGAAUAACUUUAACUUAUUUACUUAUGUAUUUUUGACAAAGCGAUAUAUUUGCUACAAUAUUUUUUUUUACUUUUACACUCCACAGAAUGGGAGUCACAUUUGUGUCAAUCAGAAUCUUCAGGAACGUCCUGAUGUCCGUGAUGAGGACAGAGAUGCAACUGUGUGUGAGUAUCUACUAUUUUAGAAUGUUGAUUAUAUUUUAUGCUUCAAUAUUGUUUAUGUACAUAAUGUAAUUAUGCUAUGUAUUGACAAUGCACAAAAAUGUUUUCCAGCUGUAUCAAGGACCUACUGCCAGUCAUCCAGAUGUUGGCCAAGAAAGAAGCAGCUGAUGGAGGAAGGCAGAGAGUACUGGCAGCAGAGGAGGUGGCAUUCUGGGAGGAUGGCAGCUAUGAGGGGAUGUCAGGAUGGUCUGUGGUGAGGUUGAGACCCCAAGUUCCCCCAACCAGGAGCUCAGUGACGUCGGGUCUACGCUAUAGGAGAGACGUCGGGCCUGUCCUGAACGCAGCAUAAUGUUGGAUCAUGUUUGGACAAAAAAAAACACUGCCAGAUGGUCCAGAAAUGGACAAGCAUUUAUGUCGUAUUUUGUGUGCAAACAGUAAAAAAAAAAAAAUCUAAUGAAAUAAAGAAAAAAACUUCUGUGCCUCAUUUAUGUUCCUCAUAUAUGAACAUGUUGCAUAUAAGCAAUAUCAAAUGAAUAUAUUUUAAUACAGCAUUUAUUUUUUAUAUAUAUUUUUUAAAAUAUAGCAU